UGAAGAUGUGGCCUAAUAGAGAUUACAACAGGUGUCCAAAAUAAAAUAAAAUUUUAAAUUGGGCAUUGCAUCUUGCGGGUAUAACCCAUAUCUUCCUUUUUUUAUAUUAUUUAUUUCCUUUGCAAUGCCGCUUUCUUCCUCCUCCGUCACUGACUACUGGACCACUCUGUCCGACGACAACCCAAAUCCUUCUGAGUCUCUUCUGGUCUGCCGCCGCCUUCGGCCUCCUGGAUCAACCGCCGAAACCCUAAUUGCUUUCUAUAUAUAUAUAUAUAUAUAUACGCACACAAGUCUCUGCAUGUAGUGUGUGUGAAUUAGGGGUUUAGGGCUAAUGUUUGGUUUACAGAUUCAGGAUACGGUAUGGAGGUCGUGGUAGUUGGCAAUGGCAAAGUUCAACGGUGAUGGCAGAGUUGAAAGAGCAGACAGAGGAGUCGAGAGGUAGAGGACGAGCUGCUAGGGGCGUCAGUGGUGGUGGUGGCACCACCGAUUAUGCUACAUCAACAGGUUGGACACAAACAUUAUCACGUUGUAAACUCAUUUAUAAAAAAUGGUCACUGUAGCCUUUUGUCAAUAUAAAAUAUCCCUUACUAAUUUGGUUUACUUUGCAUCAAUUUAUGUAUUAGUUACUACAAGAGAAAUUGAACAUUUGAACCCUUCCAUAUAUAUUUAUUUUGUUUUUAGUUA